CUUCUUUAUUUCCACCAGUUCACAGGUGCAACAAGGUUCUAUGGGCUAAGCAUAAGAAGAAUGUAAAUGUUGGUCAAUUUCUCAAACACUGCAGAUUACAUUUAGAAGUUAUUUGAAGGCCAUUUGAUCAGCCAAACACAGCACAGACACCCUUGAGCACCUGCAAGGUAUCUCUAUUGGAGAUGAACGCAUGUUCAAUACACGUGGCCUGCCUGAGUCAUUAGCAAAGUGUCCAACAACUCUGAGGCGUAUCCUCAAAUGAAGCCUUGUCUCUGUGAAAUUCCUGAUAAAUCGUCAUUUUAUGGAAUGCCACAGGAAGAAGUUUUCUUUACAAGUUCUGAAGACUUGUGAUGAAUGAGUCCAUAGUUUCACCUUUGAAAAUGUCCCUGGGAGUGUCAACCCCAUCACUUUUACUUAUAUUACACUCAUAAUCAGUUCAUCUCGCCAAGAAAAAUAAUAUUAUCCUCAUGCCCAAACUUGUGACUUGAUUUGAAAACCAGUAAAUCAGAAAUAAAACUUCCCAUGUGUUUUUUUCCUACAUGAAUCCAAGUGACUCAGAUAUUGUGUUAUUCAAUAAGACUAUUACCAUGACUCAGGUAAAAGGGCCGUUUAUAUUUUCUGAAGUCUCAAGUCUAGGGUCCAAAAUAAAACUAGCAUCUUUUAUAGAAUAAUUUUUCUCUAAAAUGAAAUGUGUAUGUCACCUGGUUGUCAAAAUCCUUAUUUAAAUCUUUAAGGAGAAAAGCAAUGGUUUGGA
rnacentral:lncRNA from 1 species